AGUGAACGCUGGCGGUAGGCCUAACACAUGCAAGUCGAACGGCAGCACAGUAAGAGCUUGCUCUUACGGGUGGCGAGUGGCGGACGGGUGAGGAAUACAUCGGAAUCUACUUUUUCGUGGGGGAUAACGUAGGGAAACUUACGCUAAUACCGCAUACGACCUACGGGUGAAAGCAGGGGAUCUUCGGACCUUGCGCGAUUGAAUGAGCCGAUGUCGGUUUAGCUAGUUGGCGGGGUAAAGGCCCACCAAGGCGACGAUCCGUAGCUGGUCUGAGAGGAUGAUCAGACACACUGGAACUGAGACACGGUCCAGAAUCCUACGGGAGGCAGCAGUGGGGAAUAUUGGACAAUGGGCGCAAGCCUGAUCCAGCCAUACCGCGUGGGUGAAGAAGGCCUUCGGGUUGUAAAGCCCUUUUGUUGGGAAAGAAAAGCAGCAGGUUAAUACCCCGCUGUUCUGACGGUACCCAAAGAAUAAGCACCGGCUAACUUCGUG
rnacentral:rRNA from 1 species